rnacentral:snoRNA from 1 species
AAGGCUGUUCCUUAGGGAUCAUUUCCGCAGUCCAUUAUUAGAGAAGCUUCUCUGGUCAUGUAGAGUACUGGAAACUCUGAGGAGGAGAAGGCGUAGUGUUCUUUCUUGAGAUUGAAGCCAGCUCUUGCCAUUGAUUAUUCUUACUUUCUCCUUGGAGGGAGUAAAGGGAGGGAACACAGCCAAUGAGA